rnacentral:rRNA from 1 species
GGGGGGGGGGGGGGGGGGGGCGGGGGGGGGGGGGGGGGGGGGGCGGGUGGGGGGCUGGCGCCUUUGGCGUUAGGGGCGGCCGGGUGAGUAACACGUGGGUGACCUACCUGUCAGACUGGAAUCACGCCGGGAAACCGGGGCUACUGCCGGCUAACCUUUAGAACCGCAUGGUUCUAAAGUGACAGAUGGGUUUGCUAUCACUUAUAGAUGGACCCGCGCCGUAUUAGCUAGUUGGUAAGGUAACGGCUUACCAAGGCAACGAUACGUAGCCGACCUGAGAGGGUGAUCGGCCACACUGGAACUGAGACACGGUCCAGACUCCUACGGGAGGCAGCAGUAGGGAAUCUUCCGCAAUGGGCGAAAGCCUGACGGAGCAACGCCGCGUGAGUGAUGAAGGUCUUCGGAUCGUAAAACUCUGUUAUUAGGGAAGAACAAAUGUGUAAGUAACUGUGCACGUCUUGACGGUACCUAAUCAGAAAGCCACGGCUAACUACGUG